CAGAAUAGUCUCAAUGUGUGGAAGGGUUCAGCCUUAAUAUUUAGGAAACUACUUUGUUUGAGAUUGCUUGUAACCCAGCUGAAUAGUGUCCAUUUCAAAUAGGACCCAUUACAAACUAUUUACAAUAACGCGUUUGAAGGAUAGUUCCAGGGAAAAAGAGAGAGUAAAUGAUAGAUCUGACUUACCAAAAUUAACUUACAGGGUAUGAACAACAAAGGAGAAAUCUUACACCAAGAAGCCAGCAACUGUUGGACAGCCCUGUACUGCGCAGUUAUGAUGAAUAUGAAACAGCAGAUGAUGUGACUGAUGUGGAAUCUGAAGUGACUGACGUAGAGUCUGAAGUGACUGAUGUAGAAUCUGAAGUGACUGAUGUAGAGUCUGAAGUGACUGACGUAGAAUCUGAAGUGACUGAUGCAGAGUCUGAAGUGACUGACGUAGAAUCUGAAGUGACUGAUGCAGAGUCUGAAGUGACUGACGUAGAAUCUGAAGUGACUGACGUAGAGUCUGAAGUGACUGACGUAGAAUCUGAAGUGACUGACGUAGAAUCUGAAGUGACUGAUGCAGAGUCUGAAGUGAUUGACAUAGAGUAUGCAGUGGCUGACACAGAGUAUGCACCGGCUGAUGUAGCGCCUGAAGUACGGAGAUCAUUGGACGAGGAACCUGCAAUUUCAGAGGAAUGGCAACGAGCUGUAAGGUGCCCGAUCUGCAUGGAUUUUUUUUCACAGAUUAUACGAAGUGUCCGACAGGUUGUGUCAACCCAGUGUGGCCAUCUCUUCUGCAGUCGGUGCAUCGCUGUUGCCCUUGAGAAUUCCAGGGCUUGCCCAACCUGCAGAACAGAACUCCCUCCCAGAGACUAUCAUCCCGUUUAUUUCUGAGUAUUUCUGUUUCUCAGGACAGAAGUAUC